CCCACAUACGACCCCUACAAACGCUCCCCCUCGGAAUCCACCUCGGAGUCCCGCUCCCGCUCCCGCUCCCCUUCCCCCGGCCACGAGGAGAAGAUCACCUUCAUCACCAGCUUUGGGGGCAGCGAUGAGGAGGCAGCCUCCGCUCAAUCUGCAGCCGGCGUCCCCGGCAAAACACCGGGCAAAGCACGCGGUGCCGUGGGGCAGCAGGGCAGCGCCAGCGCAGGUCAUAGCGCCUCGUCCCGGCGCCGCUCUUCGUCCUCCUCCUCCUCUCCAUCCUCCUCCUCGUCCUCCAGCUCCCGCUCCAGCUCCCGCUCUC